CCCAACCAGAGCAAAGCUGGGGCUCACCUCAUAAUCCACGCCAUGGGGAGGAAUAAAGCCUGACAGGGACAGGAGAGACAGGGCUGGGCCUCCACGGCGCCAUGCCAGCACUAACCAGGAGAGCGAGGGCCAGCUCAAGGACCCACGCCCCACCACCCCGCUUCAGUGCUGUGCUGUUGUAUCCCUGGGGGCAGAGGAGGCUUCAAGUUGUUUUCUCCACUUACCAGCUGGAUGACUUAUGGUAAAUGCCACCUCAUGAGGCCUGAGGGCAGCCAGCCAGGCUCUCCUCGGAUGAUGGACUGGAAGAAGGUGCCAUCUUUCAAACUUCUGCAGGCAGCUCCGAGGGCCACACACAGUGACGAACGUAAAAACGGCUUUGUAAACCGGAAAACACUUUGCCCGUAUAAAAUGGGCGUGGCUGUGAAGGGACAGUGCUGGUGGGCGCCUCAGGUUCAGCAUGCAAAAUGGCCUGGCUCUUCCAGGAUAUGACAGAUGCCAAAGCAAAGUGACAGCUUCGGAAGAGUUCCAGUUGACAAUCCCACCAUCACCCCCAGCCCCCCAAGACAUGGAAAAAAAAGAGAGAGAGAGAAAAUCCCUGGUCUUUAAUAUCGAAUGCUCCCUGCUGGUUCCGUGAAGGCCUGGAAACAGCAGGUGACCAUGUGCAAGUGACUUUGAAUUAAGACUGAACUCUCUGUGUCCUUCGUUUCUCCCUCAAAUGUGGAAUGAUUUUCUAAGAAUUUAAUUAUCUAAGAACACAACAUCAAAGCCGUUAGACCCUUGUUAGUGUUAAUUCAAACUUAAUGUGCCUGCGAUUUAGAGAUCCUGGAUACUAGGAAAAUGAUUUCAAUUUAAAUAGCCCUGUUUGUCUGACACAUCACAAAGCAUCUUUUAACGUAGAUUUUCUUUUUAAUAGAAUACUAUAUCCCAGGUCUCUCCCACUGAAAAAAGAUUCUCAUUGUGGAGAGAUCAGACGCUCUGAUAAUCAGCAGGAUGUGGUGGAGAGAACAAAUAUGGGCUCUGGCCCCUUAGAAACCCCAGUUCAGACCUGAGAGGCUCACCUGGCCCAUGUCUGCGGCAGGAGCUCAGCUUCUUUGCGCUUUGGUGAAUUAACCUCUCAGUGAGGACUCAGAGCUGACAAGAGCACGAGCCGGGGAGUCACCAAGUGGGGCGGGCGCAGGGGCGGGGCUGGAAGCCGGUGGUACCGGUGGAGUCUG
rnacentral:lncRNA from 1 species